rnacentral:sRNA from 1 species
UUGAAAGCCUUAGAAACUAGAGGUCUCUAUUUAUCCACAAAGCAGACACACCACAGGCAGCAGUACUGCAAGCUUCCCCACAGUGUGAUUCAAUCCUGCUGUGGAAGCUGCAUCACUACAGGUUACAUUAAGUGGCACCCUUGUUGGCAAUCUGAGGAGAAAAAUCCA